rnacentral:tRNA from 1 species
GGGGUGAUAGCUCAGUUGGGAGAGCGCGCGACUGAAGUUGAUACUUUGGUCUUUGAGUUAAUCGCGAGGUCACCGGUUCAAUCCCGGUUCAUCCCA